rnacentral:rRNA from 1 species
AUUGAACGCUGGCGGCAUGCUUUACACAUGCAAGUCGAACGGUAACAGGUUAAGCUGACGAGUGGCGAACGGGUGAGUAAUGCAUCGGAACGUGCCCGGUCGUGGGGGAUAACGCAGCGAAAGCUGCGCUAAUACCGCAUACGAUCUGAGGAUGAAAGCGGGGGACCGUAAGGCCUCGCGCGAUCGGAGCGGCCGAUGUCAGAUUAGGUAGUUGGUGGGGUAAAGGCUCACCAAGCCAACGAUCUGUAGCUGGUCUGAGAGGACGGCCAGCCACACUGGGGCUGAGACACGGCCCAGACUCCUACGGGAGGCAGCAGUGGGGAAUUUUGGACAAUGGGCGAAAGCCUGAUCCAGCAAUGCCGCGUGCAGGAAGAAGGCCUUCGGGUUGUAAACUGCUUUUGUACGGAGCGAAAAGGUCUCCUCUAAUACAGGGGGCUCAUGACGGUACCGUAAGAAUAAGCACCGGCUAACUACGUGCCAGCCGCCGCGGUAA